CCACCGUCGACGGUGGCAAGGAGGAGGACAUGCGGGGAAACGGCAGGCUGCCGUGUGCGUGUCUGAGAUCGGCGCCGCCCCUUUUUCAUCAUGCGACAAUGUUGGUCGGAGCUUAGCCGCCUCCAGUCCCUGCUCAUCUUCGUCGCACACAGGAGCCAUCCAAGUUCUGACUCCUCCACUCGACGCCUCUUCUUAGCGCACAAAUCUUGGACGGCCGGAUUCUUCCUUCUGGACUACAGAAACUUGGAGUUAGCAACCAACGUUGGGCUGAAUGCGGAAAUUCAUUCGCAUCCUCUCUUGGUCUCCUCCUUUAUACAAGCCAUCUGUUUUCGCUACAAGCUUCUGUUAGUUUUACUUAUAUGCAGUUGUAAAGAUUUCGUGUGUUUGUAUUUUCUGGUCAGUGUUAUAUGAUAUAUGGCUCAAAUGUCCACUGACUUGCAUAAUUAAAAUCUGCACAUCGUUGCGGAUUUUUUUGAUAUCACUCAAAUUUAGCUGGCAGCAUUACGGAAUACUAAUGUGCCUCGCUAUAUUUUAAAAAUGAUACACGUUAGUCAAUUGA